UAGGGAAUCUUCGGCAAUGGGUGGAACCCUGACCGAGCAACGCCGCGUGAGUGAAGAAUGUUUUCGGAUCGUAAAGCUCUGUUGUUAAGGAAGAACGAGUUUGAGAAUGGAAAGUUCAUGCUGUGACGGUACUUAACCAGAAAGGGACGGCUAACUACGUGCCAGCAGCCGCGGUAAUACGUAGGUCCCGAGCGUUGUCCGGAUUUAUUGGGCGUAAAGCGAGCGCAGGCGGUUAGAAAAGUCUGAAGUGAAAGGCAGUGGCUCAACCAUUGUAGGCUUUGGAAACUGUUUAACUUGAGUGCAGAAGGGGAGAGUGGAAUUCCAUGUGUAGCGGUGAAAUGCGUAGAUAUAUGGAGGAACACCGGUGGCGAAAGCGGCUCUCUGGUCUGUAACUGACGCUGAGGCUCGAAAGCGUGGGGAGCGAACAGG
rnacentral:rRNA from 1 species